CUAAGAUACACCCUGGCAAUGAGCAAUUAACUCUCUGCUAUUCUUCUCUGACUUUGGUCUCCCUUCUUUAUAACUGUGUUUGGGCUUUCUUAUUGAUCACAGCUCCAGGUGAAGGUCUCUACAAUUGGCAGUUCUGGCAGCUAGGUGGGAUGUGUGAUCAGCCUAAUUGCUUGGAAGCAAGGAAGGCAGAUAGAAUCGACUGGUGCUGUAGAAGAAUGUAAACAAUAAUAGAAGCUCAUUAGAAUGAAACUAUCUUUCUUCACAAUGGGAGCUUUCAAUAUGCAUUUAAUUGGCAGAAUGACAGAAGCAAUGAACAGAAGCAAUGGAGUAUGUGAAAACUGAAAAUAUGGAAUUUCAAGGGGCAUGACAGUCAACCUGUGAAGAACUGAUCUCUUACACUGAUGAUCUCAUUAAGUCCAUUGAGUUACAG